UGUCUUGGUGUUGAUCGACACUUCCUUAGACAAGAAUUAACGUCCUAAUCAAUAUGUUCACUAGAUUUCUAGACCAGCUCUCGUGUGUGUCUAACAACCUAGCUCAGCGUAAUUAUAUUCAGAUAAUAGACCAGCUCUCGCGUGCGCCUAAAUAUUCUAUGAUCAUGUAUCUAGUUAAUUACUCUAGAGACAAGCCAUAAGAACAAGCCUAAAUAUUCUAUGAUCAUGUAUCUAAAUAUUCUAUGAUCAUGUAUCUAGUUAUUUACUCUAGAGACAAGCCAAAAAUUUACAAACUUAUACCUUUCAGGCCUAAAAGAGGAAUCUGAUCCAAUGUAUACUAAGCCCCAAGACAAGCAAGUUAAGUUGAUUAAGGUUGGACGUCAGCUUUGGUUCCUUCAGACUUUCUCAGCUAGCAUGGUCGUUAUUGGCAAUUGAUCCACUUUGGCGUUUCCAUUCAGUACACCCUGCAGUCAAUAACCUUAAAGAAUGGAUCUAGAGAGUGGUUAGAUAGUAAGUAAAAUUGAAAAAGUUCAUCAUCCCCUUCUUGACUCAAUAAACUCAAUAAAACACAUAAAACUCAAGCUUAAUACAAAACAUAAUAUUAGUAGAACCUCCCC
rnacentral:lncRNA from 1 species